CCUACGGGAGGCAGCAGUGGGGAAUAUUGCGCAAUGGGGGAAACCCUGACGCAGCAACGCCGCGUGAGUGAGGAAGGACUUCGGUCUGUAAAGCUCUGUUAAUGUGGAAAAAUGGUAGUUGGUCUAAUAGGCCGAUUAUUUGAUGGUACACAUAGAGGAAGCACCGGCUAACUUCGUGCCAGCAGCCGCGGUAAUACGAAGGGUGCAAGCGUUGUUCGGAUUUAUUGGGCGUAAAGCGCGCGUAGGCGGACCUGUAAGUCAGAUGUGAAAUCUCGGGGCUCAACCUCGAAACUGCGUCUGAAACUGCAGGUCUGGAAUCUCGGAGGGGGAAGGGGAAUUUCGCAUGUAGGGGUAAAAUCCGUAGAUAUGCGAAGGAACACCAGAGGCGAAGGCGCCUUCCUGGACGAGUAUUGACGCUGAGGCGCGAAAGCGUGGGGAUCAAACAGGAUUAGAUACCCUGGUAGUCCACGCUGUAAACUAUGAACACUAGGUAUUGGAGGAUUUGACCCCUUCAGUGCCGUAGCUAACGCGUUAAGUGUUCCGCCUGGGAAGUACGGUCGCAAGACUAAAACUCAAAGUGAAAUUGACGG
rnacentral:rRNA from 1 species